UUUUUUUGGCUGGUUGGGGUGGCAAAACCCUUGGAGCCAGCUCUGCAUCUAAGGGUCUGUCUAGAACAGUAAACUGGACUGCGAUUGGCCUACUGGGUGACGUUGGGCAAGUCAUGUCUCCCCAGUGCCUCAAUUUCCCCACCUUCAAAAAUGGGGAGAAUGAUACUGACCCUCCUUGGUGAAGAUCUUUGAGAUUAGAAGAUUAAAAGCUCUAUAAUGGAGAAUACUGGAGGGUAAAGAUGCAUGCUGACUGCUCGGAUUCAUGCUCAGAUGAAGUUACAGCAAAGUCUCGAGAGACUUGAUCCAAUGCCAACUGGAGUCAACAUAUGGAUUUUUCAAUGGACUUUCAAAGGCCCUAAAUGAGCAACUCAACAUCCAUAGAUGUCAUUGAGUAAGAGUGAAAAUUUGAACAAAGGAAUCCCAUUCUGUCAACUUAGUCUACUAGGACCACAUAACAUCUCAAGCUAGAGUUACUCCUCCUCUGUGGUCAGCCAGCUCAGCUGCACAGAGUCUGCUGAUCUGGAGCUUGAUUUGCCUGCAAUACACACAAGCAACACUGGACGUCCUGGGUAGCAUGACCCUUCAUAAUCAGAUGUUUCUGAGGUCCUUCCUAAAAGCUGAAGAGUAUGUAGGCAUGAAUGACACAGUAGAUGUAUUGAGAGGAAACAGUAAAUAAUCAGUGGCAUCUGGAAGCAAGGCCAGCUCCAGGUCCCAGCGCAGGAAGCAGAUGCUUGGGAUGGCCAAUGGAAAGGGGCGGCACAUCUGGGUCUUUGGCGGCAGGUCCCUCAGUCCCUCUCGGAGGGAAGAACUGGCCGCCGAAUUGCCAUCAAAUAAUGAAGAGGCGUGGCAGAGCAGCUGCCCAAGUGCCGCCGAUCGCGGCUUUAUCUUUUUUUUUUUUUCCUUUGCCGCUUGGGGCGGCAAAAAAGCUAGAGCUGGCCCUGUCUGGAAGAAGACAUCCACGAAACUUUACACUCCAGUGACUAAUUUAAAUGUUCACGUUUAAACUCAGUGAAAGAGUCUAGGAACUAGUUUUUUUUUAAAGUGAAUACUGAGGUUAACCCUGACAUUUCUAGUUCCCAAAAUCUUCACAGGCCCCAAAGAUCAGCUCGGAAACAUUGUGUAACCACUGUAGAUGGCAUCAAGCCAUGAAUCACUAGGCAUAUGUCCACUCGUAACAACCUUUAGUGACAAUUUUGUUCAGGCAACCUGUUGCUUUCUUUCCCAAUUAGCUGACCUAUAUUUGUUUUAAACAAAUCCCAACAUUUUCCACUUCUUAAAGAUUAGUCUUAUUUCUAUAUAAAAAAAAAGUCAUAGGAAUUUGGAACACAACAUAAGUCCUAUUUUUCCUGUUGCAUAGAGGUACCUAUGGUAACAUCCAGGAAUUACUGUAAACCAGCAAAAACUGCAUGUUUCCCUGAGCCCUGAUGACAUUUAUUUACCCACAAUGCCAUGAUGUGGAAGUACUGGUUCAGCUGCACAAGGUCAAUCAUAUUCCCUCUGUCGCUUUCCUGGAGGGAGAAACAGCUUUUCCAACACAAUGACAUGACAAAGGCCAUGUAAAUCAAUGCAAACUCUGAAAAUUAAGCACUUAUUCCCAGACAGAUACUUUCACAUGUGCAUGCUCUUUCUCUCUCUGGACAAUAGAUAUUAGUGGCAGAAACACUGCAGUGUUCAUGCUGCUUGAGCAGAAAGAGCUAUUUAAAUGUUUCAGAAGCAGCUUGAUCUGCUACAAAUGUAGAUAGCACAGCAAUGUUGCCAUAGUGAACCACACUGGAGCAGGAGCCCAGACUAAAGAGAACAGGAUGAUGGCCAAAGUUAUACCAAAAUAGAAGGAUUGCAGCACAGAGUCAAUCUAGUAUCCUGCACUGUAGUAUAGAAAUGAUUGUUGUAUUUGUGGCUUUAUAAAGAGCAGGACAGCUACCACUGGCCAGCAUUUUUAAUGAAGAUCCUGUCUGAGCAAGAGCAAGCUCCAUCACUUAGAAUACAAAGUAUAGUAAUAUGAACUGAAUAUUAAGAGCUUUUUAGGGAAAAGUUAGGCAGUGACAAUACAGUAUGUUAAUAUAAAUCUAAGUGAGAAGUACCCUAGCUACAAAAGAAAGACUCUCCAGUCAAGAUAUUCCCAAAUCCUUAUGCUAAUGAAUGGAUAGUGAAGAUUGGUAUCAGUAUGUUUGGUUUCAGCAUAGCAGUUUACUGCUAUAUCAGUCAAGGAUGCUUGUAAUCGUACCAAGAACUCAUUUCUCCAUGCUGAAGUGACUAAACACACAGUGGAUGUAACAUGCUUAUUAUAGAAAAAGAAGAGGAUGAGGAUCUCAUACCUUUGAUGAUUUCCCCCCAAACAUUAAAUGUGUGACUUAAUUAUUUUAAUAUUAAACCAAAAACCCCAUAGUUCACAACCUUUA